UAGAUUAAAAAAUUGUUUUUCACGAAGUUGGAGGAGCUAGUUAUUAUAUAUUUAUAGAUAAAUAAGUGUUGCAAAACCAGUCAAAUAGUAAUUAGGAGUGAUAGGCUUACCAUAUCCAACGAUAACUUGUUGAUUUUAAAAUGUAAAAGUACAAAGACACCCUUGAAGUGAUAAGGCUAUAAGGGUCAAAUUAAUUUUUAUAAUUUUUAAGUAUAUUAUUUAAUCGUUAAUACAUAUAAUAUUUAAUUAUUAAUUUAACUUCAUUAUUUUUUAUAAAAAUCUAUAAACUAAUUGCGAGAAUUAUAAAUAAUGUUGAUAUUAGUAAUGUAAAUAUUAAUAAUGAACUCGGCAACAAGCCUUUCAACUGUUUAUCAAAAACAUAGCUAUAUGAAUUAAUAUAUAGUAUUUUCUGCUCAAUGAAUAUUUAAAUAGCCGCAGUACCCUGACUGUGCUAAGGUAGCGCAAUCAAUUGACUUUUAAAUGAAGUCCUGUAUGAAAGAAAUCAUGGAGGGCUACUCUCUCAUUAAUAAUAAAUGAAUUUACUUAGGGAGUGCAAAUUCUUCCAUUUAAAUAAUAGACGAGAAGACCCUAGAAAUUUUGAGAGAAAACUUUUUGUUGGGGCAACAAAGUAGCAAAGUAAUCUACUAUUAUUACUUGAAAUAACUAAUUGGAAAGAUUAAAUUACUCUAGGGAUAACAGCAUAAUUUGAAAGAGUUUGUGACCUCGAUGUUGGAUUAGGGAAUUUCCGUUUAGAAG
rnacentral:rRNA from 1 species